rnacentral:miRNA from 1 species
CAGGGUGGUCAACUAUCCUGGUUUGCCAGGGCUGUCCCAGCUUUAGUGCUGAAAGUUGCCAGUCCUGGAAAACCCUCAGUUCUAGGCAAACCAGGACAGUGGAUCGCCUCCUGUUUUCGU